AUGGCUUUUAAAGACACCAGCAAGACACCUGUGGAGCCGGAGGUGGCCAUCACCGAAUUAGGAUCACCCUCACCAGCCACAACUUGAGAUCUCUGGAGAAAGUGUGCCCUGGCCUGAUCAGAGGUGCAAAGGAAAAGAAUUUCAAAGUGAAAGGACCGGUUCGUGUGCCUACCAAGACUUUGAGAAUCACUACAAGAAAAACUCCUUGUGGUGAAGGUUCCAAGACAUGGGAUCGCUUCCAGAUAAGAAUCCACAAGCAACUCAUCGAUUUGUGCAGUCCUUCCGAGGCUGUCAAGUAGAUUACUUCCAUCAGUACUUCCAUGAGUCAGGAGUUGAGGUUAAAGUCACCAUUGCUGAUGCUUAA